CUCGGAGGCGGUGCCGGCUAUCAGAGCUGCGCUGGGCGUUUAGGGGCCAAGAUGGCGGCGCGCCGGGGACGGAGAGACCGAGUGGUGCCGCCUCCAAAUGGGGGCCCCGGCCCCGACCCUGGCGGUGGAGUCCGCGGCAGCAGUCGCGGGGGUCGCAGCCUAGCGCCGUAUGAGACCGUGAGCGCUGUGAGCGGCGGGGAGCAGGUGUUACUGCAUGAAGAGGUGGAUGAUUCUGGCAUUGUCAGUCUUUCUCGGCUGGCCCCCUGUCUGAAGGACAAGGAUUUGGAGAUGGAGGAGCUGUUGCUGCAGGAUGAGACACUGCUGGGAACCAUGCAGAGCUACAUGGAUGCUUCCCUCAUCUCCCUCAUUGAAGAUUUUGGGAGCCUUGGAGAGAGCAGAUUAUCUCUGGAGGACCAGAAUGAAGUGUCAUUACUCACAGCUCUGACGGAGAUCUUGGACAAUGCAGAUUCCGAGAACAUGUCUCCAUUUGACAGCAUUCCUGACUCUGAGCUACUUGCGUCACCUCGGGAGGGCUCCUCUCUACACAAGCUGCUCACUCUCUCUCGGACACCCUCAGAACGUGACCUCAUCACUUCAGUUGAUCCACUGGGGCCCACUACAGGCAAUAGUAGAGUGAGUGGGGUUGAGAUGUCUCUCGCAGAUCCCUCUUGGGACUUCUCCCAUUCCUUCUUGGAGACCUCCUCCCCCAAACUUCCUAGCUGGAGACCCCCAAGAUCCAGACCCCGCAGAAGCCAGUCUCCUUCUCCCCAACAGCGUAGUGAUGGGGAAGAAGAGGAGGAGGUGGCCAGCUUCAGCGGCCAGAUGCUUGCUGUGGAGCAUGGCAACUCAAUGAGCAGCAUCUCAGACUUUCCCAUGCACCUGGCCUGCCCAGAGGAAGAAGAUCAAACAGCAGCCGCAGGUAUGGCAGUGCAGACAGCUGGUGACGAGAGCAUCUCUUCCCUGAGUGAGUUGGUGCGGGCCAUGCACCCCUACUGCCUGCCCAACUUCACCCACCUGACGUCACUCAACAAUGAACUUCAAGAGCAGCCAGAUGAUUUGACAUUGCCUGAGGAUUGUGUGGUGCUGGAGAUAGUGGGCCAGGCAGCCACAGCUGGCAAUGACCUGGAGAUCCCAGUUGUGGUGCGGCAGAUCCCUACUGGACCCCAGCCUGUGCUCCUGGAUGACUCACUAGAGGCCAGGCCAGCCUUGCAACUGCUCCUGCCUACACUUGAGUCAGAGACAGAGGCUGCUGUGGCCAAGGAAGCCCUCUGCCUUGAGAAAGAAGGGCUGUCACUGGACUCAGGGGAAAAGCUGGAGUCAGCCUUGUUGGAGCCCAAGGAAGUCAAGGAGCCAGUGGUGCCCAAGGGGCCUCAGAACCCACCAGCCAAUGCAGUGCUGAGUUCCCAGAGAGCUCGAAAGGGCAGGAGGAAGAAGAACAAGAAACAGCCAGCAGCCUCUACAGAAGGCUAUGCCCGGAGACUGAGGUCAUCCUCUUGUGGGCAGCCUACUGUGGCUACAGAGGUGGACUCUCAAGCAGGCAGUUUGCCUCAGGAGGAACUUCAAAGAGAGGUUGGGCCUCCCCAUGGUAGAGGGAAGCCCCGGGCUUGGGCUUGGGCCUGGGCGAGUACCUUGGAGAAGCCUAGCUCUGAGAACUUGGAGAGUAAUGCUGGACAAGCUAGUCCUGCUAAAGAAGGUCCUCUUGACCUCUACCCCAACCUGGGUGACACCAGCGAAGUUAACCCUGUUCCAACCCAUAGCACAUUGGUUGACUCUGCUCAUGCCGACCCCACGUCACUGGAUUCUGUUGAAGCUGAUCCCUCUGCAAUUGAUCCUGCUCUAGGUGACCCUGUACCUGUUGAUCCUGCAUUGGUUGACCUUGCUUCAGCCAACUCAGGGCUGGUUGACCCUCUUCCAGCUGACCAAGUGUUGAUCAAGCCAGUCCUGGCUGACUCUCCAGCAGUUGACCCUGCAGUGAUUGUUCCUAUCUCAGAUGACUUGCCACCAGUUGACCCUGUCUCUACCAACUUAGCACCAGUUGACUUUGUUCCCAAUGACCUGGCUCCAGUUAACCCUGUGCUAGUUAAGUCUAGGCCAACUGACCCCAGACGUGGUGCAGUGUCAUCAGCCCAGGGGAGUCCAGCCCCCCAGCUCCAGUCAGAGUCCUUGGACCCCCCAAAGGUCAUCAUCUCUAAAGUCAAGGAGAGUGUGGGUCCUCUGAAGGAAGGUGAUACCAAUACCACAACCCAGGAAACCAGACCUCGGCCUCUUAGUCUAUCUGAGUACCGGCGACGAAGGCAGCAGCGCCAAGCAGAGGCAGAAGAAAGGAGUUCCCAGCUCCCGUCUGGGAAGUGGCCCAGCCUCCCAGAAACCCCCACAGGGCUAGCAGACAUCCCUUGUCUUGUCAUCCCACCAGCCCCAGUCAAGAAGACAUCUCUGCAGAGAAGCCCUGAGACUUGCUUUGUGCCUGUGGGUGGUCCCAGUCCUGCUUCUCCUAGUCCAGAGCCACCUACAAGCAAAUCUGUAGCCUCAACUCCCACUGAGCAGGUUCCAUCCCAAGAGAUGCCACUCCUAGCAAGACCUCCACCUCCUGCUGUGCAGUCCAUGCCUCCCACAAUGCCCCCUGCUGUGCCUUUUCCACCAGCUGGGCUGGGCAUGCCUCCCAUGCUGCCCCCACCACCCUUGCAGCCUCCUAGUCUUCCAAUGUCUGUGGGGCCAGUGCCACCUGAUCCCUAUACACAUUAUGCCCCCAUGCCACCCUGGCCUUGUUAUCCCCCAGUAUCUCCUGGCUAUCCUUGUUUGCUGCCCCCACCAACAGUGCCCAUAGUGUCUGGUACCCCUGGCGCCUAUGCUGUUCCCCCUACUUGCAAUGUGCCUUGGGUACCCCCUCCUGCCCCAGUCCCGCCUUACAACUCUAGCUGUACUUAUGGGCCCGUGGGGUGGGGUGCAGGACUGCAACACCCUCCAUUCUGGCCUACUGUGCCCCCACCACCUUUGCCUCUAGCCUCUGUUGGGAGAGCUGUUCCCCCACCCAAGGUGGAGUCCAGUGGCAUCCCAGUUGGUCCUCCUGAAAGUUUACCUCCCGUACCAAUGGCUCCUCCCCUCACUCUGGGGUCAGCUGGCCAAGGAGCUCCACAGAUAGAGCCCACCAAGGUGGAGGUCAAACCAGUCCCUGCUUCUCCCCAUCUGAAACACAAGGUAUCCUCCCCGGUGCAAAGCCCACAGAACAAGGUUUCACCCUGUCUGUCUGCUGAGAGUGUGGCUGUUGAGGAGCCUGCAGCAGAGAGGUUAAAACUUGAGACCCAGGAGACCAAGUCCAGGGAGAAGACCCCCUCUCCUGUUGCCAAGACUGUUCCCACACCAAAGCAGAGCACUAUCACUAAGUUGCCUGCUGUCCACCCAGCCCGUCUAAGGAAACUGUCCUUCUUGCCUACCCCACGUAUCCAGGAUCCUGAGGAUGUGGUACAGGCUUUCAUCAGUGAGAUUGGAAUUGAGGCAUCGGACCUGUCCAGUCUACUGGAGCAGUUUGAGAAAUCAGAAGCCAAAAAGGAGUGCCCUCCCCCGGCUCCUGCUGACAACUUGGCUGUAGGAAACUCAGGCAGCGUUGACCCUCCCCAGGAGAAGAGGCCCCUAGACCGGUUACAAGCCCCAGAACUGGCCAACGUGGCAGGGCUCACCCCUCCAGCUACCCCUCCCCACCAGUUAUGGAAGCCCUUGGCUGCCGUUUCCCUGCUGGCCAAAGUCAAAUCUCCUAAGUCCAUCGUUCAGGAGGGAACCCUGAAGCCUGAAGGAGUUACAGAGGCCAAACAUCCAGCUGCAGCCCGCCUCCAAGAAGGGGUCCAUGGCUCUAGUCCGGUCCAUGUGGGCUCUGGGGACCAUGACUAUUGUGUCCGGAGCAGGAGCCCCCCAAAAAAGACUCCUGCUCUAGUCUUUCCAGAGGCAGGCUCCCGAUGGAACGUCAAACGCCAUCAGGACAUCACCAUCAAACCUGUCUUGUCCCUGGGCCCAGUCGCCCCUCUUCCUCCAGGCACAGCUGCCUCCCAGGAGCCACUUGAUCACAGGACUAGCAAAGAGCAGGCCGAUCUCCCAGCCCCUUGCCUUGCCCCAUCCGCCUUGCUGUCCCCUGAGGCCUCGCCCUGCCGGAAUGACGUGAACACUAGGACUCCCUCUGAGCCCUCAGCCAAGCGGUCAGUGCGCUGUUACCGAAAAGCCUGCAGGUCACCUAGCCCCCCAAACCGGGGCUGGCAGGGCCGCCGUGGCCGCAGCAGUUCUGUCAGCUCUGGGUCCAACCGGACCAGCGAAGCAUCUUCCUCCUCAUCCUCAUCGUCGUCUUCAUCCCGGUCCCGGUCCCGGUCCCUCUCCCCCCCACACAAGAGGUGGCGAAGGUCCAGUUGUAGUUCCUCUGGAUGUUCCCGGAGAUGCUCUUCCUCUUCAUCAUCUUCCUCCUCAUCUUCCUCAUCCUCAUCAUCUAGUUCCCGAAGCCGGUCCCGCUCCCCAUCCCCCCGCCGGAGAAGUGACAGGAGACGGCGGUACAGCUCUUAUCGGUCACAUGACCAUUACCAAAGGCAGAGAGUGCUGCAGAAGGAGCGUGCAAUAGAAGAGAGAAGAGUGGUCUUCAUUGGGAAGAUACCUGGCCGCAUGACUCGGUCAGAGCUGAAACAGAGGUUCUCUGUUUUUGGAGAGAUUGAGGAAUGCACCAUCCACUUCCGUGUCCAAGGCCAGUCUCUGCCUCACCCACCAGUGACAACUAUGGCUUCGUUACUUACCGCUAUGCUGAGGAGGCAUUUGCAGCCAUCGAAAGUGGCCACAAGCUGAGACAGGCAGAUGAGCAGCCCUUUGAUCUCUGCUUUGGGGGCCGCAGGCAGUUCUGCAAGAGAAGCUACUCUGAUCUUGACUCCAACUGGGAAGACUUUGACCCUGCUCCUGUAAAGAGCAAAUUUGAUUCUCUUGACUUUGACACAUUAUUGAAACAGGCCCAGAAGAACCUCAGGAGGUAACCCUGGGCCCUUCUCCCCCUGCCCCCCUUUUUUUGGAGGUGUCCAAUCAUCUCCAACCCCCUCCCCAACUCCAGGGGAGAGAGCUGCUAGUGAGAUGACUUUUAUAAAGAAAUGGAAAAAGUGAAAUAAAAAAAUGUGUUAAAUCAGAUUUUUUAAAAGGGUAUUUGUUUUUAUAACAGGCAUUUAAACAAGUUAAUUUGCAUUCCUAUUUGAAAUAGAUGACUUUGAGGGAUUCCCCCUGUGUUUGGAUUAUUGAAGUCACUAUGCAGACUAAUAAAUAUAAACUAGAGAAAACA